AAUCGGUGCUUUUAGAGCAAGGCCUUAGGAAAAGAGUCGACUUGGGCAGAGUCUGAUGCUGAUGCGCUCCCGGACACACACACACACACACACACACACACACACACACUCACGCGCACACUAAAUGAAUGCAACAAUAACCCCUGUGUGUCUGUUGCCUCUCAUGUCGAGGCUGGAUCUCGGUUUUCUCCCUCUCUCCCUCUCCUCUCUCUUUGCUCUCUUUGUCUCCAUCUCAGGUGAAUCGUAGACAUGUGAUCAAACGCCCAAGCCUCUAUCCAUUAACCCUCGUCAAUGAAAAAAAAAUGGGGAACAAAAAGCAGUUUUGUGCUGCAAACAUGGAAAAAAUUGAUAACAGAGAGAGAUGUGUGCGUCUUUCUCCCCUUAUGUCCGAGCAUAGACACCAGUCGCGCACACACAGAAAAUACUCUGCGGCAGACGGGACACAUGGAUUCUCUCUGUUUUCCUCCGCUCCGACACAUUUUCUGUCAUGAAACAGCCUCUGCAGCACCUGGAUCUGGGCCUCGGAGGUGCAAAUGGUAGGGGGCUGCGUUUGGCCAUGAGGGGCUGAUGGGUUGGCGAGUGUGUGCAUGUGUGUGUGUGUUGGGGAGGUGCACACCUACACGCCUGCACCCCACCGACCCCCCAAAGGCAACACCACGGAUCCUGCUCGAGGCCUCCGAGGCUGGUGAAGUACUGGAGGUGGGAUGAAUAAGAAAUAAAACCCUGUCGGAGCUCGGUUGCUGUCUCUCUACGGCCUGAGACACGCACCUGUCCGGUUUUGAUGGCACCUGGGCUCUGUUGUCGUGCUGCUGACACCAUCAAGUAUCACAAAGCUGACGCGGCUGCUUCUCGUGUACCUGCUCUUGUAAACCUGAUAAUCUAUAACUUUUCAAUAAUGUGAAAAAUGUCUGAACACUUUAAUGUAAUAAUCUCUAUAACAUCUGUAAUAAUACUCAAACAGAAUAAGGAUGUAUAAUGAGAAAGCAAGAAAUAUAGCUCUUUGUUUCCAAAUAUUAUGGCUUGUGACCACAUGCAGAUUAUCACGGUUUGUGUAUUUCUUAAAGUUGUGAGCAGUGAUCCCUGAUGUUUUGACCCUUUUCAAACUGUUUAUUGAAUAACUGUUGGGAGUAUAAUGACGGUAAAACAAAGCGGUAAUACACAAUAAAGAGGAAAUGAUUACAAAUGAUAAUGUCUAUUGUCGUGAUGUAGUGGCUCACAGGCAAACAUCAAGAAAAAAUGGCAGCUGGUAGUGUGUUGUUAUUCUUCCUGUUCCAUCAGUCUACUGCUGAUGUCUUAGAUUAAUGUUGUGACCCCACGGUGGAGACCUUUGCAUCAACCCCUCUCUAACCACAGAAAUCUCAAGAGAAACCGCUCCUUUACUCCGACACAGUGUCUCAAAAACUGGUGUGAAUAAUGAUCAGUCAUUUGCUGAUUUUGGCAUAGGGUAUAAUAACAAAAAUCCAACAAAGCCACAAAGUGGAUGGUUUAUUAAUCAAUUAAAAAGCAUAACUUAGUACUUUGGCAAUGUCACCCACUGUGGUGUCACUGUGCAACCACACGGGGGAGCCUGUGCAACAGUAAUUAAUGACUGGUUACUCCUAAUGGUUUCUUCUUAGUAUCCCUGUUAUUCAUCCCACAGCCUUUCACCUUU